GCAAAAAGAAUUACCAAAGCAAUAUUUUUAUUUACAUGCUAUGAUGAGCUCCUUAGUUGGUGUAGUGGCCUAUGUCUUUGAUUUUUGUUGGGAAGAUUUGGUUCUGAGUGGGUUAUGUCUUUGAGUUUGUUCUCAAGAUUGAGUACCUGAACAGACUGCAGUUCUCUAAUUGUAUCGUACUGGUUCCGGAUCCACUCUUAUGGCUAUAUCACACGAGAGAAAAUAUGUGCAACUGCAAGUGUAAGUGCAACUGUAAGUGAAAUUUCUCCAAAAAUUGCUCGUGUGAUAUAGAAAUCAGGGUUGCACGAAAUAUCUGCAACCGUUCAGGCAAUUUCUUUCAUGAACCAAUCAGAUCGUUUGCUUUUAUGACGUUUCAAUUUUAUGUGAUGACGUAUACAAAUGUAAAUAAAAAUGGCGGCGACGUUGGUGAAGAGUAUGAUCGGAUGAAAUUUUUUUAUAGACGUAACGGAACAGUUUUUUAGUUUAAUAAUAACAUUUUCUUUAAAAUCAAAGCAUUAAAAAUACUUUCACACGAUGAAAUAACCAUCUCAAUGCAGUUGAGGUACUACCAUAACAGGAACCUGCACAUCAUUUUAGUAUCGAUAUUUCGUAUAAUCCUGUAAGGUUUGUCUGGUGAAGAAGGAAAGAGAUGCAAUACUGUUUUUAUGAAAGAAAUUAAAAAAUAAGAAAUGAAAAUGAAUAAUGUUCUAAAUGUUUCACUUGACAAUAAAUGUUUUGUUUUUUAAA